UAUAACCGGCGAUUUCCGAAUGGGGAAACCCAGUGUGAUUCGUCACACUAUCAUUAACUGAAUCCAUAGGUUAAUGAGGCGAACCGGGGGAACUGAAACAUCUAAGUACCCCGAGGAAAAGAAAUCAACCGAGAUUCCCCCAGUAGCGGCGAGCGAACGGGGAGGAGCCCAGAGCCUGAAUCAGCAUGUGUGUUAGUGGAAGCGUCUGGAAAGGCGCGCGAUACAGGGUGACAGCCCCGUACACAAAAGCGCAUGUGCUGUGAGCUCGAUGAGUAGGGCGGGACACGUGGUAUCCUGUCUGAAUAUGGGGGGACCAUCCUCCAAGGCUAAAUACUCCUGACUGACCGAUAGUGAACCAGUACCGUGAGGGAAAGGCGAAAAGAACCCCGGCGAGGGGAGUGAAAAAGAACCUGAAACCGUGUACGUACAAGCAGUGGGAGCACCCUUCGGGGUGUGACUGCGUACCUUUUGUAUAAUGGGUC
rnacentral:rRNA from 1 species